GUUAUCCGGAAUCAUUGGGUUUAAAGGGUCCGUAGGUGGAUAAUUAAGUCAGAGGUGAAAUCUUGCAGCUCAACUGUAAAAAUUGCCUUUGAUACUGGUUAUCUUGAGUUAUUAUGAAGUAGUUAGAAUAUGUAGUGUAGCGGUGAAAUGCAUAGAUAUUACAUAGAAUACCAAUUGCGAAGGCAGAUUACUAAUAAUCAACUGACACUGAUGGACGAAAGCGUGGGUAGCGAACAGGAUUAGAUACCCUGGUAGUCCACGCCGUAAACGAUGGUUACUAGCUGUUUGGACCUUGUGUCUGAGUGGCUAAGCGAAAGUGAUAAGUAACCCACCUGGGGAGUACGUUCGCAAGAAUGAAACUCAAAGGAAUUGACGGGGGCCCGCACAAGCGGUGGAGCAUGUGGUUUAAUUCGAAGCAACGCGCAGAACCUUACCAACCCUUGACAUCCUAGGACAACCUGAGAGAUCAGGCCUUCCUUCGGGACCUAGUGACAGGUGCUGCAUGGCU
rnacentral:rRNA from 1 species